AUACGGAGGAUCCAAGCGUUAUCCGGAUUUAUGGGUUUAAAGGGUGCGUAGCGGUCCUAUAGUCAGUGGUGAAAGACGGCAGCUUAACUGUCGCAGUGCCUUUGAUACUGUAGGACUUGAAUCUAUUUGAAGUGGGCGGAAUAAGACAAGUAGCGGUGAAAUGCAUAGAUAUGUCUUAGAACUCCGAUUGCGAAGGCAGCUCACUAAGUUAGUAUUGACGCUGAUGCACGAAAGCGUGGGGAUC
rnacentral:rRNA from 1 species